GGCCAAGGCCGCCGCCCGCCGGAGCGACGGCUGCGCCGGGCGCUCCGACGUCGGAUCCGGAAGCUCCCGACUCGCCCUGCUCGGAUGCCCGGAGCCUCUUCAUGAGAGUGGUGACUCUGACAGCUUUCUGUUCUGGCAGGGUCCGAGGUGGUCCACGCCACCUGUCGGCAAAGUAGACGAGACGUUCACUCAGCUGAACUGCAGUGGAAGAAAAUGGAGUCGUCGCAACAGUGACGAGUGCGCUGUGGAUUAAAACAUCCGGACUGACUGUCAGGAUCCGUUUGGACUGAAAAUGCUGUGUGUGUGGAAAAUCUGUUGGUAAUAUCAACAUCAAGCAUCUAUGAUAUCAUCAGCGUGGAGCCCACAGAAAUUCACGUUUUUUUUGGGGGGGGGGGGGUUUUCCCCUCUCUCGGAGGCACACAAAAGUCAAUGCGGUCACAAGCGUGUCGCACGUUCUCAGCGUUUUAUUUAUUGAAGACGCCGUCUGACUGCCGCUCCAUAUUUAGAAAUCAAUUUCGAGAGUGGCCGGCGAGCCGCUUCCAUCAAGUUUUUAGUCAUGCAGCUGCACUUUCAACAAGAGAGAGAAUUCCACGCUGACUUUCUCCCAAAAAAAAAAAAAAAAAAAAUAAUACAAAUCCCAAGUUGGCUGCUAUUACUUUAUCACUGCUGGGACACUUUAAAACUAAAACCAAAUCUAAAUCUUUUAUGAAGAUAAUCAUUAUUAGUGUCAUUAUUGCUGUUCUAGUUUCAUUUUAUGAAUGUCGAAGUUAGCUGGGAUAAGUUCCAGCACUCCCGCGACCCUUGUGGGGAUA